GUACUCUCACACUCCCAGUCUUUGGAUUGGGAGGUGGACUUGGGUGUUGCUGCUUUACCGUGGCUCACCUCAAAUGGAUUCGUGCAACUCUUGGUUGGACAUAGUACGGCGUGAUAAGUGUCUUCGCCGGCGCCUCACUUUGAGGGUGGCCGAUCGGGAGCUCUGUGCUUCAAACCGUCUUCGGACAAUGACUGACA
rnacentral:misc_RNA from 1 species